CAAUAGCGUAUAUUAAAGUUGUUGCAGUUAAAAAGCUCGUAGUUGGAUUUCUGAAUUGAAUAUCCGGUCCGCUCGUCUCUGAUGAGUGCGUACUUAUGGAUAUUGGAUUCAUUUUUUGUGAGGACAUUUAUCUGUCAUUAAGUUGAUGGAUUUAUAGACUUGCAUCGUUUACUGUGAAAAAAUUAGAGUGUUUAAAGCAGGCGUUCGCCCAUUUGAAUACAUUAGCAUGGAAUAAUAAGAUGUGACUUUGGUGGUCUAUUUUGUUGGUUUGCACACCAGAGUAAUGAUUAAUAGGGACAGUUGGGGGUAUUCAUAUUUCAACGUCAGAGGUGAAAUUCUUAGAUCGUUGAAAGAUGACCUUAGGCGAAAGCAUUUACCAUGGAUGUUUUCAUUA
rnacentral:rRNA from 1 species